rnacentral:rRNA from 1 species
UACCAGCACCCCGAGUGGUCGGGACGUUUUAUUGGGCCUAAAGCAUCCGUAGCCGGUUCUACAAGUCUUCCGUUAAAUCCAGCUGCUUUAACAGAUGGGCUGCGGAAGAUACUAUGGAGCUAGGAGGCGGGAGAGGCAAGCGGUACUCGAUGGGUAGGGGUAAAAUCCGUUGAUCCAUUGAAGACCACCAGUGGCGAAGGCGGCUUGCCAGAACGCGCUCGACGGUGAGGGAUGAAAGCUGGGGGAGCAAACCGG